rnacentral:lncRNA from 1 species
AUGUUGUCUCAUCUGAGACGGUACAAGAUCCGUGUGUCCACACACAGCCGGUCGUGGCUGAGUUCGUGGCUAUGCCUUCCUUCAGAUGUGGCCGGGCUCAGGCUGAUUCAGGGAGAAACACUGCUUCUCAUUGAGUCACAAGGCCGUCCUGGAGCUGUGCUGGACUUUGCUUGGGAACAACUUUGGAUAAUCAGAAAAUUCAAGAAUUCAUCUGUCUGUAUUCUUGAGAGUUUUUUCUGACUCACACGGCGGCAGGCGUCAAGGACAAUAUCUAGCUAAUAACAGAACUUUCCUUAUAAGGUAUGAGUGAAUAAGCGAAAGAACGUUUAGAUUAAUAUGAAUGGUCGGAAUAGAAAUGUAAAUAUACCCCAAAAUAGAUUCUUGGGAAGACUGAGAAUGAAAUUAGGUGGGCAUGUGCUUAUGCCUAUGUACACUGUGGCCAAGAAUUCCAAUGGAGAAACCAACAUCGGUAGAAUUGGAUUUUGUUCCCCAAAUGCAAAGUCAGAAACAGCAUGAUCUGCUUUCUAUGAAACAGCAUCCAGAAGCUUCUCAAAGGCAACAUCGGGUUUAAGAAGUCCUUUGAAGGAAAACUACAUAAACAUGUGGGAAUGGUGUGGUAGAUACACUCCCUUGCUUAAGAGUUGCCAGAGGAAGUAG